rnacentral:lncRNA from 10 species
GUCUGAGCAAUUCUGGAUGUUGCUAUAAAUGUGUCUGAAUUGUCUGCUGCCCGUCAGUGGAUCUGCUGCCUAAUUUGUGAAAGUUUACACAACCUUUCUACGUGAAGAAUAUUGCAACUUUAAAAACAGCAUGAAAAAUUUUGUUACAUUAGGAUGCAAAAAGGGCGUGGUGGCUUAUGCCUGUAAUCCCAGCAUUUUUGGAGGCUGAGGCAGGAGGAUCAUCUGAGGUCAGGAGUUUGAUACCACCGUGGCCAACAUGGUGAAUCCCUGUUUCUACUAAAAAUACAAAAAAUUAGCUGGGUGUGGUGGUGCAUGCCUGUAGUUGCCUGAUUGAGUAUCCCAACACCUAACACACACAUGUGCACAUGCACACACACACCCAUGGCAAGUGAGAGAGAGAGAACCAUUUAACAAUGACUGAAGAUUAAUUGGUCUCAGGAAUUUAAAAUAACUUCUGUACAGCCAUUAGCUGGCUACUGAAAUAACUGAGCAGAGACAUCAGUGGCCACAAAUGACAAAUAACACA